AUGGUCGUGGACAACUCUGCCCCUAUCCUUUGCAGGGUACAGCCUCCCUGCUGGCUGCUUUCAUGGGUUGGCAUUGCGUGUCUGCAGCUGUUCCAGGUGCAUGGUGCAAGCUGUCAGUGGAUCUGCCAUUCUCAGAUUAUAAGAAAAAUGGCUCAUGCACAGUUGGUGGGAGUGAAAAUUGGCACAACCGUCUUGGAGAGCAAUUUGACAAACUACUUCAACAUUGUAUUCCAUCCACUAGAAAAUUACAAAUAUCUUGAAACUGAUUUUAUGGCAUAUACUUUUUAUAUCAUCUCCAUAAGGCCCAGAGUCUUGCUGAUGGUGUGCCAAGUAUUAAAAAAAUACCUUGGCAUUCAAUCAAGAUAG
rnacentral:lncRNA from 1 species